CCCACGAGAGGAUCCCUCACCCGGGUCUCUCCUCAGGGAUGACAUCAUCCGUCCACCUCCUUGUCUUCAAGGACCACCUCCUCUCCAUGCUGAGCUGCUGCCAAGGGGCCUGCUGCCCAUCUACACCUCACGAGGGCACUAGGAGCACGGUUUCCUGGAUCCCACCAACAUACAAAGCAGCCACUCACUGACCCCCAGGACCAGGAUGGCAAAGGAUGAAGAGGACCGGAACUGACCAGCCAGCUGUCCCUCUUACCUAAAGACUUAAACCAAUGCCCUAGUGAGGGGGCAUUGGGCAUUAAGCCCUGACCUUUGCUAUGCUCAUACUUUGACUCUAUGAGUACUUUCCUAUAAGUCUUUGCUUGUGUUCACCUGCUAGCAAACUGGAGUGUUUCCCUCCCCAAGGGGGUGUCAGUCUUUGUCGACUGACUCUGUCAUCACCCUUAUGAUGUCCUGAAUGGAAGGAUCCCUUUGGGAAAUUCUCAGGAGGGGGACCUGGGCCAAGGGCUUGGCCAGCAUCCUGCUGGCAACUCCAAGGCCCUGGGUGGGCUUCUGGAAUGAGCAUGCUACUGAAUCACCAAAGGCACGCCCGACCUCUCUGAAGAUCUUCCUAUCCUUUUCUGGGGGAAUGGGGUCGAUGAGAGCAACCUCCUAGGGUUGUUGUGAGAAUUAAAUGAGAUAAAAGAGGCCUCAGGCAGGAUCUGGCAUAGAGGAGGUGAUCAGCAAAUGUUUGUUGAAAAGGUUUGACAGGUCAGUCCCUUCCCACCCCUCUUGCUUGUCUUACUUGUCUUAUUUAUUCUCCAACAGCACUCCAGGCAGCCCUUGUCCACGGGCUCUCCUUGCAUCAGCCAAGCUUCUUGAAAGGCCUGUCUACACUUGCUGUCUUCCUUCCUCACCUCCAAUUUCCUCUUCAACCCACUGCUUCCUGACUCGCUCUACUCCGUGGAAGCACGCUCACAAAGUUCCUGACCUGGCCAUCCCGGGGUGCCCUUGACCAGCCCCGUGUCUCCUCAGGGUGUCCCAGCACCAGCCUGGCACAGAGUGGGGCUCAGUUAGAGUAUGUGGGAUGUUGGUUUCGCCAGCAGGUUCCCAGUGCCCCCGACAAGCCCCUGCUGGUGUCUCCAUCUCCUGCCAAGCAUCCUCCAGUGCCUCCUCCUGUGGGCCUGGCCUCAGGGCUAUGGACAGACUCCUGUCCCAUCCCAGAGACCCCUCGUGAUCGUGCCCUGGCACGUGGGCCGUGGCCCGGCUGGGUCGGCUGAAGAACUGCGGAUGGAAGCUGCGGAAGAGGCCCUGAUGGGGCCCACCAUCCCGGACCCAAGUCUUCUUCCUGGCGGGCCUCUCGUCUCCUUCCUGGUUUGGGCGGAAGCCAUCACCUGGAUGCCUACGUGGGAAGGGACCUCGAAUGUGGGACCCCAGCCCCUCUCCAGCUCGAAAUCCCUCCACAGCCACGGGGACACCCUGCACCUAUUCCCACGGGACAGGCUGGACCCAGAGACUCUGGACCCGGGGCCUCCCCUUGAGUAGAGACCCGCCCUCUGACUGAUGGACGCCGCUGACCUGGGGUCAGACCCGUGGGCUGGACCCCUGCCCACCCCGCAGGAACCCUGAGGCCUAGGGGAGCUGUUGAGCCUUCAGUGUCUGCAUGUGGGAAGUGGGCUCCUUCACCUACCUCACAGGGCUGUUGUGAGGGGCGCUGUGAUGCGGUUCCAAAGCACAGGGCUUGGCGCAC
rnacentral:lncRNA from 1 species